rnacentral:rRNA from 1 species
CCUACGGGAGGCAGCAGUGAGGAAUAUUGGUCAAUGGCGGCGAGUCUGAACCAGCCAAGUAGCGUGAAGGAAGACGGCCCUACGGGUUGUCAACCUCUUUUAUACGGGAAUAAAGUGAGGCACGUGUGACUCAUUGUAGGUCCUCUAUGAAUAAGGAUCGGCUAACACCGUGCCAGCAGCCGCGGUAAUACGGAGGGUCCGAGCGUUAUCCGGAUUUAUUGGGUUUAAAGGGGGCGCAGGAAGGUCGUGAAGUGAGUUGUGAAAGUUGGGGGCUCAACCGUAGAAUUGCAGUUGAUACUGGCGGUCUUGAGUGCGCGUGAGGUAGGCGGAAUUCGUGGUGUAGCGGUGAAAGGCUUAGAUAUCACGCAGAACUCCGAUUGCGAAGGCAGCUUAC